rnacentral:rRNA from 1 species
AAAACCCCGCCAUCACCUGCGUUAACCUAACACAAGAGAAUCUCAAGAAAGAUUAAAAAAAGCGGAAGGAACUCGGCAAACCUCAGCCCCGCCUGUUUACCAAAAACAUCGCCUCUUGCCUCAAUAAGAGGUCCCGCCUGCCCAGUGACCCAAUUCAACGGCCGCGGUAUCCUGACCGUGCGAAGGUAGCGUAAUCACUUGUUCUUUAAAUAAGGACUAGUAUGAACGGCACCACGAAGGCUGUACUGUCUCCCGCCUUUAAUCAGUGAACUUAAUCUCCCCGUGAAGAAGCGGGGAUAUAAUCAUAAGACGAGAAGACCCCAUGGAGCUUAAAACAAACGGCACCUGCUAACAACUAAGUUAAGCACCUUGACCGUACGUUUUCGGUUGGGGCGACCGCGGAGAACAACCCACCCUCCAUGCUGAAAGAUAACAAUCUUAGCCAAAACAACCCAUUAAAGCACCAGAAUCCUGACAUUCAUUGACCCAAGCUAUUUGAUCAACGAACCAAGUUACCCUGGGGAUAACAGCGCAAUCCACUUCAAGAGCCCCUAUCGACAAGUGGGUUUACGACCUCGAUGUUGGAUCAGGGUCCCCAA